rnacentral:other from 1 species
AAACUCCUGAGAUGUUCGAGGGCUUAUGGUAAUUCAACCUACAGAGUUAAUAUGGGAGUCUGAGUUUAAUAUUGGAUGAUAUGCCUAAUUAUAAUAGGAAAUCAAAAGAUAUUAGCAGGACACCCACCUGCAGAGAUAUGCGGGUGUGAAUUAGCAAGGGCUCACGGCAUUGCGGGAAUAAA